rnacentral:lncRNA from 10 species
CCAGAAUUCAGUCAACUGAGUGGGAAAAAACUUUUGCUCAAAAAAAGACAGGGUCCUAGGAGAAAAACAAAACAAAAAUGUGAGGGCCUUUUAAAUACAAACACAUCCACCUGCACACAUACAUAUACACAUCUUGGAUGUUAGCUUCUAAUUAGGGUGACUUUUAACCAUUGAGCUCCUUUUAAAAUAGAUGUUUUUAAAUCUUAUUACUGUAUUUCUGUUCUUUCAGAAGUACAGCCAUUGCUCUUUCAGUUUGGCUUGGCUAGCAAAAGGGUGGCCUUGUUAUGUAAAUAAAGCUCCUUAAGUAGUCAAAAUAAAAAAUCUUUUCUUUUUUUUUUUUUUUAUGGGAAUUUAGCCACUUCAGAGGCCUCGUUCCCCAUAAUUUGGAACAUUCCCUUGGAUUUGAUCAAGUUGGAUAGAAUUGGUCACACCCAGUGGGAAAAGACUGAAACAACAACAAAAACAGAAACAAACAACAACAACAACAACAAAAACCAGUUAAGCAAAACAAGUGAUCGCACAACUUAUGUGAUCACUGAGCACUCUAAUGGACUCUCAGAGGCUCCACAACCCUGGCCCAGGAUGGACUCAUGACCUGGACUGGGCUGAUGGUGGUCACCAUCCCCUUGAUGACAGUGAUUGGUGGACACAUGUACUAAUCAGAAUCAUUCCCCGACAUACAGACAUUGGGACACCCAAAGAUUUUUUUUUCCUGCUAAGGUUAUUCAACUGGGACCAUGCAAAUAAACGGUAAGCUGCUAGUGACCAUCUUUCUCAGCCACUUUGAAGAAGCCCUGCAGCAGGAAAGAAUGAGGAAAAUCAGGGCUGGACGAUGAAAAAAGAGUGGCUCCUGAUAUCAUGAUUUGAGCCCUUUAUUCUGGUUAUUCCUGAAACCACCUAAUUCAGCCCUAGACUUCCCAGUGUAUGUGAAUAGUAAAUCCUCAUUUUUUUCUUGAGCUAAAAGGAUUUGGGUUUCUGUUACUUGCAAAAUGAGUCUUGAGUAAUACACCAAGCCAUUCAGCCAUUCACCUAUUUUGCUGCGUUAUCUAUCGCAUGAAUAAAAUAGAAAUAA